GAUGAAGAACGCAGCAAAAUGCGAUACUUGGUGUGAAUUGCAGAAUCCCGUGAACCAUCGAGUUUUUGAACGCAAGUUGCGCCCGAAGCCUUUUGGCCGAGGGCACGUCUGCCUGGGCGUCACGCAUCGCGUCGCCCCCCACAAUUCUCCGUAAAGGGAACAUGUGUUUUGGGGGCGGAUAUUGGUCUCCCGAGCUCAUGGCGUGGUUGGCCGAAAUAGGAGUCCUUUCGAUGGACGCACGAACUAGUGGUGGUCGUAAAAACCCUCGUCUUUUGUUUCGUGCUGUUGCUCGCAAGGUAAACUCUUUAAAAACCCCAAUGUGUCGUCUCUUGACGAUGCUUCGAACGCGACCCCAGGUCAGGCGGGACUACCCGCUGAGUUUAAGCAUAUCAAUAAGCGGAGGA
rnacentral:misc_RNA from 1 species